AAUUUUGAGUUAAAUCUGCCAUUGCGUGUAGCUGCGUCUACUGCACGUGGCCUCCGAGAUAGCAGCGGUGUGCUGCGUAGCGUAGUCUACUGCGGCCGCCAUGAGGUUCCGUGACGAGCCUUUUUGCCACCGAGACUCUCAACUUUUGGGCAGUGCUUUGCCCUCUUAGCAUCUCCACUGUGUAGUUUCCAGCUCAAUAGAGAGAAAGAAAUCUGCAUAUCUGUGCAAUAGCUCCACUGAUACUUAAAGAUUUCAAAAAAUUUUUGCGGCAUCAGACUCAUGAGACUACGUGCUUUUAUAGUGAGGCCAUUCAUUGAUUCACUGGAGGAGUGUUUCAGGGCCCCUUUAAUGAGCAGCCAAGUAUAUCUACAAUAAUAAAUA
rnacentral:lncRNA from 1 species